rnacentral:rRNA from 1 species
CCUAGCUUUAUUCCGCCUAUAUACCACCGUCCGCCAGCUUACCCUGUGAAGGACUAAUAGUAAGCACAAUCGGCACAGCCCAGAACGUCAGGUCGAGGUGUAGUGAAUGGGAGGGGAAGAAAUGGGCUACAUUCGCUGUCCGCCAGCGAACACGAACGCUGCAUUGAAACAUGCAGCUGAAGGAGGAUUUAGCAGUAAGCAGAAAGCAGAGUGUUCCGCUGAAGCCGGCUCUUAAGCGCGCACACACCGCCCGUCACCCUCCCCAAGCAACUGGACCUAAAUUUUUCUUUAAACCCUAACAAUCGCAAAGGAGAGGAAAGUCGUAACAUGGUAAGCGUACCGGAAGGUGCGCUUGGUUAAAC